rnacentral:rRNA from 1 species
UGAGUAACGCGUAUGCCAACCUACCUAUCGAGGAGGGGAACUAACCCGGCGAAAGUCGGACUAAUACCGCAUAAAACAGGGGCACCGCAUGGUGAUAUUUGUUAAAGAAUUCGCUGAUAGAUGGGCAUGCGUUCCAUUAGGUAGUUGGUGAGGUAACGGCUCACCAAGCCGACGAUGGAUAGGGGAACUGAGAGGUUGGUCCCCCCACACUGGUACUGAGACACGGACCAGACUCCUACGGGAGGCAGCAGUGAGGAAUAUUGGUCAAUGGGCGGGAGCCUGAACCAGCCAAGUCGCGUAGAAGGAAGAAGGAUCUAUGGUUCGUAAACUUCUUUUGCAGGGGAAUAAAGUGCAGGACGCGUCCUGUUUUGUAUGUACCCUGAGAAUAAGGAUCGGCUAACUCCGUGCCAGCCGCUGC